AUGCCUCCGUACCCAUUGGAGGGCAAAGGGGUUAGGGGGCGGUGUGGCCCCCCCUAUUCCAUUCGUCCCCUGGGGGUACAGCAGCCGGGAGCCAGAUUCUUCGCUGCUGCUGCCUUACCGCCGAGAACCACCACCCGCCAGGCGUCUUGCGGCCACACCCCUGGCGGGUUCAGGCAGGCUACGCCCACGCGACCCCUCCCGUUUCCCUGCUUUGGCCAAUGGAGGAGCUACGAAUGGCACGACCUGCUCGAGCUUGGCAGUCUCCAGUUGGGCUGUGCAUGGAAGCUUGGGAAGACUUUGUUGGAAGGGGAGGCGGGGAGAGAGUGCUGGAGGCUCUGGGGCGAUGGCUUCCGCACCUCUUCCAACCACCCUCUUUCCCUGGAGUCGGCGGACCACAGCUCAGCCAAUUGGCUUGGAGAUGUGGCGGGUUGCCACUUCCCUGUGGGUCUCUGCGGCACUCUUCUGCCUGGUGACUGACACCUUGGAAAUGAAGUUUAUGACGUCAUCGUUGCGGCUGGCC
rnacentral:sRNA from 1 species